rnacentral:rRNA from 1 species
AUUGAACGCUGGCGGCAGGCCUAACACAUGCAAGUCGAGCGGAUGAAGGGAGCUUGCUCCUGGAUUCAGCGGCGGACGGGUGAGUAAUGCCUAGGAAUCUGCCUGGUAGUGGGGGAUAACGUCCGGAAACGGGCGCUAAUACCGCAUACGUCCUGAGGGAGAAAGUGGGGGAUCUUCGGACCUCACGCUAUCAGAUGAGCCUAGGUCGGAUUAGCUAGUUGGUGGGGUAAAGGCCUACCAAGGCGACGAUCCGUAACUGGUCUGAGAGGAUGAUCAGUCACACUGGAGCUGAGACACGGUCCAGACUCCGACGGGAGGCAGCAGUGGGGAAGAUUGGAAAAUGGGCGAAAGCCUGAUCCAGCCAUGCAGCGUGUGUGAAGAAGGUCUUCGGGUUGUAAAGCACUUUAAGGUGGGAGGAAGGGCAGUAAGUUAAGACCUUGCUGUUUUGACGUUACCAACAGAAUAAGCACCGGCUAACUUCGU